GGGCUAUUAGCUCAGGUGGUUAGAGCGCACCCCUGAUAAGGGUGAGGUCCCUCGUUCGAGUCCAGGAUGGCCCA
rnacentral:tRNA from 1 species